rnacentral:rRNA from 1 species
GAUGAACGCUGACAGAAUGCUUAACACAUGCAAGUCUACUUGAACUUCGGUUUGGGUGGCGGACGGGUGAGUAACGCGUAAAGAACUUGCCUCACAGUUAGGGACAACAUUUGGAAACGAAUGCUAAUACCUGAUAUUAUGAUUUUAGGGCAUCCUAAAAUUAUGAAAGCUAUAUGCGCUGUGAGAGAGCUUUGCGUCCCAUUAGCUAGUCGGAGAGGUAACGGCUCACCAAGGCGAUGAUGGGUAGCCGGCCUGAGAGGGUGAACGGCCACAAGGGGACUGAGACACGGCCCUU